rnacentral:rRNA from 1 species
GCCCAGCACCAAGGGCUGGUCGUGGCGUCCCCGCCGCGGUUCAGCCGAUGCGGUGUUUAGGAACUCUCUGAACCACCGAGUGCCGAAUCUAAAGUCCUCAUGAAAGUGGCCCGAUUGCCCGAAGAGGGUGUCAGGCCCGUAGGAUAGGUGCUCGGGGGCCUAUGGGAGCUUCCUUAGAGUCGGGUUGCUUGAGCGUGCAGCCCUAAGCAGGUGGUAAACUCCAUCUAAGGCUAAAUAUGGAUACGAGACCGAUAGUGGACAAGUACCGCGAGGGAAAGUUGAAAAGAACUUUGAAGAGAGAGUUCAAUAGUGCGUGAAAUCCUCCAGGGGGUUAAACGGAUGGACCUUCGAAGCUCGAGCCGCAUACGGGAUCAGCGUUCGUGCGGCCCCUGUUGUGGUCGUGCGGUUGCGGCUUGCCGUGGCCGUGCGUGCUGCGACUGAGCGGCUGUGCGGGCGUGUAUUCCUGGGCGGAUUCGUACUCUGCACGUGACUGGUUGGGCGUCAGACGGGCUUGGUUUGAUGGCGUUUCGGCGUCAGCGGCCAGGUUCCCGGCGCCCGAUCGGUUCGUUCCUAGAGUCUGCCGGACAAUCGUGGCGAGCCGCAAGGCUGUCGGCCGCGGGGCCCAUGUCGGUGGACGCGCAGAGAGUAGGCGAGACCCAUCCGACCCGUCUUGAAACACGGACCAAGGAGUCUAACAUGUGCGCGAGUCGUAGGUUGAUAAAGACCGAAGGCGAAAUGAAAGUGAAGGCACUCUCGGGUGUCGAGGGGAGAUCCCGUUCCACCCAGGUGGGUCGGGCGCAUCCCCGGGGCGUCGCGUUCUCGUUGCAGAUGCGACGCACCAAGAGCGUACACGUUGGGACCCGAAAGAUGGUGACCUAUGCCUGGCCAGGUCGAAGUCA